rnacentral:rRNA from 1 species
CCUACGGGAGGCAGCAGUGGGGAAUAUUGCACAAUGGGGGAAACCCUGAUGCAGCGACGCCGCGUGAGUGAAGAAGUAAUUCGUUACGUAAAGCUCUAUCAGCAGGGAAGAAAAUGACGGUACCUGAGUACUAAGCCCCGGUUAAAUACGUCCCAGCAGCCGCGGUGAUACGUAGGGGGCAUGCGUUAUCCGGAUUUACUGGGUGUAAAGGGAGCGUAGACGGGGGGCCAGGUCUGGAGUGAAAUGCCGCAGCUUAACUGCGGAACUGCUUUGGAAACUGGCGAACUAGAGUGCGGGAGGGGUAAGCGGAAUUCCUAGUGUAGCGGUGAAAUGCGUAGAUAUUAGGAGGAACACCGGUGGCGAAGGCGGCUUACUGGACCGUAACUGACGUUGAGGCUCGAAAGCGUGGGGAGCAAACAGGAUUAGAUACCCUUGUAGUC